AGCUAGGAAAGCAAGUGUGCAUGAUACGCGAUACGGUACGGUAUACGCGAUAUGUUCGUACGCUAAACCCAAAGAUACGGCACUACCGUACACUACUACUAGUCUGCUUGUGACUAUGUUUAUGGUUCAACUUGCUCGAUCAGAAUUCUCACUUGUGAUAAGUGCAUAAGGCGUCCAAGUCACGCGGUUUAAAUGUUUAUGCACACAAGCAGUGUUUGGAACCUGUCAGAACCUUACAGAUGACCAGCAGGCUAGCAUAAACGCAUUGUGUGAUGGCAAGCAUCUUUCAGGAUGAAGGUGUCUGUUCCCGCCCCAACCUACAAGCUGCUGUGAAGACAACAAGCCUACACAUAUUUUCUGAUGUACAUGUAUCUUCUGGAAUUGUAGUGCCAGGCAGUCACGCAAAUCUUGUGAGAUUGUUUUCUGACUUAAUUAAAAAUGUCAUGCAUCUCUAGUAACAUGAAUUAGACCCUGGCACAUGGAUUGGGGCGGUGAAGCCUCAAUGCUGGUCACUGCUAGUAAUGUUUAAAAAGUAAUGAAAGUAGGAAGGCCGUCAAACAUAGUUAUUCUCUUUCUAGAAAGAGUCGGCACAAACACACAUGCUGUGUCACUCCAUUUUGAUGUUAAUGUUAUGUAUCGGCUUCCUUUAUUAAAUUUUCAUUUAUUGACCAAAUGUAUCAAGUAUGGACACACUCACAGAAAAUGCUAAAGAAGAAUUUAACGCCAGAGUAAGAAUUUUCAGUCUUGAGAGAGUGACAAAUAUGCUGAUGUAAUUGCAUCGUAAUAUACAUUUAAAAAAUGUAGUCUAUAAAAAAUAAUUUAUGACAUUCUUUAUUCAAAGUGUAAUGAGCCAUGGUUCAAAGUAGUGGUUUAGUUUUAAACUCAUCAGGUUUUUACGGUGAAGUAUUCACCAUCAAUCUUUGAUUUCACUUGUUGGGACAUUGAGGCUCUUGAAUAUGCCCCCUCCCCUCCUGACAUCAAAAGCUGCAUUGUCUAUACGCCACUGCCAUUGAUCGACCAAUCAGGAUCAAGUUUGUUUGAAAUAAUUACUGAUGCAAAUAAUGCAUUGCAGGCAUAGAGAAUUCAGUAUACUUUGAAUCAUGCAGCUUCACUUGGAAAGUCCUUGCACCUUUGUGUAACCUUACCACUUUUUUUAAGUGUAUGGGCUCUUUGGAUGUCCGUUUUUCCUCUUACGAAAGUUUGUUUCUCUUUUACAUGUUGUGAUAUUUGUACAAUUAAAAUGAUGUACAUGUAAAUUAAUUGAGGAGAUAAAUAUUCAACAGAUUCAAUAAUUAAGACUUUAAAAUGUGUAUUAUUAGAGUGUUGUGUAUACAUGGUUUGUCAACACCGAUUGAAAUAAUGCA